rnacentral:piRNA from 1 species
UUGAGUUGAGACUGUCAGUAGGU